GACGAACGCUGGCGGCGUGCCUAAUACAUGCAAGUAGGACGCAGUUGCGAACGGGUGAGUAACGCGUAGGUAACUACCUAUUAGAGGGGGGUAACUAUUGGAAAAGAUAGCUAAUACCGCCUACUAGGAGAUGGACCUGCGUUGUAUUAGUUAGUCGGUUGGGUAAUGGCCUACCUUGGCAACGAUACCUAGCCGACCUGGGAGGGGUGAUGGCCACACUGGGGAUGGGGAACGGGCCAGACUCCUUAGGGGAGCAGCAGUAGGGAAUCAUCGGCAAUUGGGGGCACGCUGACCGAGCAACGCCGCGUGGGAGGAGGAAGGUUUCAGGGCGGAAAGCUCUGUUGUUAAGGAAGCGUUACUGAACCAGGAAGGACCGGCUAACUACGUGCCAGCAGCCGCGGUAAUUC
rnacentral:rRNA from 1 species